rnacentral:rRNA from 1 species
AUGAAAGAGGCGAUCAGAAUGGUACCCGAAUCCAUUUACGAUCCCGAGUUUCCAGACACAUCGCACUUUCGCUCGGGUCGAGGCUGCCACUCGGCCCUCAGACGGAUCAAAGAAGAGUGGGGAACCUCUCGCUGGUUUUUGGAAUUCGACAUCAGGAAGUGUUUUCACACCAUCGACCGACAUCGAUUCAUCUCAAUCUUGAAGGAAGAGAUUGACGAUUCCAAGUUCUUUUACCCCACUCAGAAAAAGUUUUCCGCCGGACGACUCGUAGGGGGUGAGAAGGGCCCUGACUCCAUCCCAAACAGUGUACUACUAUCGGCCCUACCAGGCAAUAUCUACCUACACAAGCUCGAUCAGGAGAUAGGGAGGAUCCGGCAGAAGCACGAAAUUCCUCUUGUAGUGAAAAUAAGAUCGGUUCUAUUAAGAAUAGGUCGUCGUAUUGAUGACCAAGAAAAGUAUGGAAAAGAAGCAAGCUUCAACGCUCCCCAAGACAACAGAGCCCUCAUAGUGGGGAGGGUAAAGAGCAUCCAACGCAAACUUACGCGUCAGAAAAAUAGAACCUUUCCGGCCCGGAAGAUCGCUGCUUCGCUUCUGGCGACUAGCUUCUACCCACAAUGGCUAAAGCUACCUUGA